GACACAAGGCCCUCUGUUUCUAAAACCAGCAACUUGCAUGUCAGCAACCCCACUUGAUUUUGGAAUUCACUGAACCCAACCAUUUCUUUCUCUCUCUCUCUCUCUCUACAUAAUAACAACAGUGAUAAUAGAGACAAUUCAAAUACAGUGUAACAACCCAAAACUCAACAAAAGGAGGAGGUACCAAUUCCAUUUUUCACCAUCCCAUUCCUUCCUAUAACUCCCAUGCAAUCUUUUGAAAGAUAGCACAAAACCCACCUCUCCUUUUUUAUUCUUUUUGUUUGUUUUGAUGAUGAUGAUGAGGAUGAGGAAUUCUUUGUACUGAAUACAGAGGAUCUGUAAGGGGAAAGAGUUUUGGUGGCUGAGAUGCAAAGACUGCAUAAGGGGGGCUUUAUUUCUUGUUGCCUCAUUCGGAAAUCUUCCUAUCAAACCCACCGCCAACACCAUCAAAGGCUUUAUCAGCUUUAUCAACAUCACUGUUGGAUUAUUGGGGACGACGUCUCAUGGUUUGCUCAUUGAACUGAAGUUGUAAUUCUUUGGCCGGCAGUUAGAAACAUGUGGUAUUGACUGAAUUCGAAGAUGGUUGGGACAAUUUUUUUCUUAGAAGAGUUGCAAAAAAUCAAAUCUUUGUUGCAAGAUCAAGCUUGAACCCAUUUUGUAUUUCUAGUUAGUGAAGCUGUAAUUUCUGAACUUGGAUCCAGGCAGCUUUAAUUUCUAAAAGAACCACAUUGGGUUGUUGAAGUGGAAAGAUAACAACCUUGGCAGAUUCUGUGAGUUGUAGGCUUGAUUGCAUAUCAAAACUACAAGAA